rnacentral:lncRNA from 1 species
AUGGACCUAACAGAAGCAGAAGAGAUUAAGAGGUGGCAAGAAUACACAGAAGAACUGUACAAAAAAGAUCUUCACGACUCAGAUAAUCACAAUGGUGUGAUCACUCACCUAGAGCCAGACAUCUUGGAAUGUGAAGUCAAGUGGGCCUUAGAAAGCAUCACUACAAACAAAGCUAGUGGAGGUGAUGGAAUUCCAGUUGAGCUGUUUCAAAUCCUGAAAGAUGAUGCUGUGAAAGUGCUGCACUCAAUAUGCCAGCAAAUUUGGAAAACUCAGCAGUGGCCACAGGACUGGAAAAGGUCAGUUUUCAUUCCAAUCCCAAAGAAAGGCAAUGCCAAAGAAUGCUCAAACUACUGCACAAUUGUACUCAUCUCACAUGCUAGUAAAGUAAUGCUCAAAAUUCUCCAAGCCGGGCUUCAGAAAUAUGUGAACUGUGAAAUUUCAGAUGUUCAAGCUGGUUUUAGAAAAGGCAGAGGAACCAGAGAUCAAAAUGCCAACAUCCACUGGAUCAUGGAAAAAGCAAGAGAGUUCCAGACAAACAUCUAUUUCUGCUUUAUUGACUAUGCCAAAGCCUUUGACUCUGUGGAUCACAAUAAACUGUGGAAAAUUCUGAAAGAGAUGGGAAUACCAGACCACCUGACCUGCCUCUUGAGAAACCUGUAUGCAGGUCAGGAAACAACAGUUAGAACUGGACAUGGAACAACAGACUGGUUCCAAAUAGGAAAAGGAGUACGUCAAGGCUGCAUAUUGUCACCCUGCUUAUUUAACUUCUAUGCGAAGUACAUCAUGAGAAACGCUGGGCUGAAAGAAGCACAAGCUGGAAUCAAGAUUGCCGGGAGAAAUAUCAAUAAUCUCAGAUAUGCAGAUGACACCACCCUUAUGGCAGAAAGUGAAGAGGAACUAAAAAGCCUCUUGAUGAAAGUGAAAGAGGAGAGUGAAAAAGUUGGCUUAAAGCUCAACAUUCAGAAAACGAAAAUCAUGGCAUCCGGUCCCAUCACUUCAUGGCAAAUAGAUGGGAAAACAGUGGAAACAGUGUCAAACUUCAUUUUUUUCGGCUCCAAAAUCACUGCAGAUGGUGAUUGCAGCCAUGAAAUUAAAAGACACUUACUCCUUGGAAGACAAGUUAUAACCAACCUAGAUAGCAUAUUAAAAAGCAGAGACAUUACUUUUCCAACAAAGGUCUGUCUAGUCAAGGCUACGGUUUUUUUCAGUGCUCAUGUAUGGAUGUGA